rnacentral:rRNA from 1 species
CGGGACGGGUGAGUAAUGUCUGGGAAACUGCCCGAUGGAGGGGGAUAACUACUGGAAACGGUAGCUAAUACCGCAUAACGUCGCAAGACCAAAGAGGGGGACCUUAGGGCCUCUUGCCAUCGGAUGUGCCCAGAUGGGAUUAGCUAGUAGGUGGGGUAAUGGCUCACCAGGCGACGAUCCCUAGCUGGUCUGAGAGGAUGACCAGCCACACUGGAACUGAGACACGGUCCAG